AGCAGCUGCGGUAAUUCCAGCUCCAAUAGCGUAUAUUAAAGUUGUUGCAGUUAAAAAGCUCGUAGUUGAAUUUCGAGACCGGUCUACUGGGCGCGCUUUUGUACGUACUGGUAUAAUCGGUUUCUCUCUUCUGACGAACUAUAAUGCCAUUAAUUUGGUGUUUUAGGGAAUCAGGACUGUUACUUUGAAAAAUUAGAGUGUUUAAAGCAGGCUCACGCUUGAAUACAUUAGCAUGGAAUAACGAAAUAGGACGUUUGAUUCUAUUUUGUUGGUUUCUAGGAUCGACAUAAUGAUUAAUAGGGAUAGUUGGGGGCAUUAGUAUUCAAUUGUCAGAGGUGAAAUUCUUGGAUUUAUUGAAGACUAACUACUGCGAAAGCAUUUG
rnacentral:rRNA from 1 species